rnacentral:rRNA from 1 species
UACGGGAGGCAGCAGUGGGGAAUAUUGGGCAAUGGGCGCAAGCCUGACCCAGCAACGCCGCGUGAAGGAAGAAGGUCUUCGGAUCGUAAACUUCUGUCCUUGGGGAAGAUAAUGACGGUACCCUUGGAGGAAGCCCCGGCUAACUACGUGCCAGCAGCCNNGGUAAU